rnacentral:tRNA from 1 species
GGAGGCGUGGCCGAGCGGUUUAAGGCACUGGUCUUGAAAACCAGCAAGGGCUUACGCCCUUCGUGAGUUCGAAUCUCACCGCCUCCGCCA